ACAUAUAUACAUACAUACAUACAUACAUACAUAUAUACAUAUAUACAUACAUACAUACAUACAUACAUACAUACAUACAUAUAUACAUACAUACAUACAUAUAUACAUACAUACAUACAUACAUACAUAUAUACAUACAUACAUACAUACAUACAUACAUAUAUACAUACAUACAUACAUACAUACAUACAUACAUAUAUACAUAUAUACAUACAUACAUAUAUACAUACAUACAUACAUACUACACCUCCUCACUACAGCUGUGUAUGAAGCCAGGGGUGUUUUCAGAUAAUAGUUUAUUUAAUCAAUGCAUGUAACGCACCACAUUGAACGUUCAGUAACGUUCAAUGUGGUGCGUUGUAACGGCAUAAAAAGUAAUUAAUUAGAUUAACUCGUCACUGAAAAAUAAACGCUGUUACCGUUAUUUUAAACACCGUUAAUCCAAACACACAGAGACUUACAGCAAUUCAGGACACGCGACAAAGUUGCAUCAUUUACAUUGAUUUAGAACGAAAUCUAGACGUCAGAGUCACUAAAGUCGUGAAGUCGCGACUGAAAUGAUGCAGUCGCCUCAAUCACCCAUGAUGAAUCGCUGGAACAUGGUGGCACUAUGGGCUCUACAGACAGUGAAGGACGGGGGGGAGAUGUCGUUUGAAAAGUUCACAUUUUUCAACUUUGAGCGAUGAGGUCAUUGGGACCUUGUUGCUGGAAUUGUGCAAGUCUUGUCACUUGAAGGGAGGUCGCGUCAUUUACAUUAAUUUUGAAUGUAAUGUAGUGGCUUCAGUCGCGUUAGGUGUGAACAUACCUUUAAACGUUAAACAGACUAAUUCUUUGCCUCUGAUUGGCUGAUGUUGAUCUUUUCUUGUGCAGAGACCAUCUCAGCGUAUCCAGGCAGUAACGUGGUCAUCCUGUGCAUUUUACCCACACACGUCCUGCAGAGCUUCAACAUGACGUGGAGGUACAGCCGUUCAGACACCAUCGUGACCAUCAACGUCACCGAUCAGAGGUCACAGGUCCAGGUUGAGGAUCAAUGGAAGGCUCAUGUCUUUGCCAGCCUGUCAGUAGCGACCAGCCUCCACGUUCACGGCAUGGCGCUCAAGAUCGCAGGAAUCUACACGUGCGAGGUUAGCACGGCAGAGGAAACCUACAUCACCUGGACCGAAGUCACCAUAGAUCUGAAGGAGAACAUCUACAUCUAUGUCAUCGUCCUGCUCUGCUCCGUCAUCCUCGUCUCUUUCACCACGUUUUCAUACAAAGCCUGUAAAGUGAGUGAGACCAAACGAGACGACAGCGUGGAGACGACACGCGACGUGGUGGAGAUGGAGAUUAAGGAAAAAACGUCAGCAGAAAACUGAACGCGACCAUGUGAAGAAAGAUGCUAAUUAGCUAAACCUGAAAAUGCUAGCUGAGGCGCGUUACAAUAGGAGACGAGUCGUUUUCAUCUCAUAUUGGGAAAACUUUAAGGGACUAAAGCUUUGUUGUUUCAGUGGGACUAUUAUUGAAAACUUACGUUUAAAGAAUUGUAAAGCCCCGCCCCCUUAGUGACAAAAAGCACAUGUAUUUAGCAAUUGAAAAUUGCUAAAUACAUUGUUCUCAUACAACUUCUCAUACAACUCCUUUGUCCUGUAACUCCUCCUACACUAUUAAUGACGUACGUUGUCUCAUAGGGACAAUGUCAACGAUGUGCAGUCGACCUUUUUUGGAGCCAAAAUGUCAAGGUCAAGGUUGCGUGAAGUAUCAAAAACCAAAAAUGUCCAUAUCUUUACCAAUAUUUAUCGUACAAGUUUGAUGCUUACAUUUAUGAAAAGUUCAUCUCAAGUAGAAUAUUUUAUUUACAUGGACCAAAGCUGUACGACCAGUAAAAAGAUCAGUAGGGGUCAAAGUUCAUGACGUCACAAAAAAAAUACUUUUUCCCUAUAACUUGGCCACUGGUAAUAAUGAACAACAUUUCCUUUCAAUGUGUGACCUUGGCCUUCGCUCAAGGUCAUAUUUAAGGUCAGGGUCAGUCUUCUGUUUUUCCUGCUUUAUUAAACUUGUCAACAAAUCCAGAUACAGGUUGCCAAGUUUAAAUUUCCAAAUACGUAAAUGUGUGAAUGUUAUUCUUAUUUUAACUAUCAACAUAACUAAUCUGAAAUUAAAAUUUGUUUUACUUAAUUUAAUUGUGAGAAUGCUUUGGAUUUAUUUUGUACAGUUUUUUGCAUUUUACUCCUUCAACAGAUUUCGUACAAUUUUGAUGACGGUUUCGAAACUUUGGUUAAUUUUAGGCUAUUGACGCUCUGUUCUGUCUUUCUACGUUUUAUCAUUUUUGAUUCAUUUAGAUCUGAUAGGAGAGCACCAAGGACAUGCUCACAGCCUCUAUUUAUACCUCUGCAUUUCCUCUGUAAAUAAAGUUUGUCUCGUUUAGAAAUAAUAAAGGCCC
rnacentral:lncRNA from 1 species